rnacentral:rRNA from 1 species
CCUACGGGUGGCAGCAGUGGGGAAUAUUGGGCAAUGGAGGCAACUCUGACCCAGCAACGCCGCGUGAAUGAUGAAGGUCUUCGGAUUGUAACGUUCUUUUUUUAGGGAAGAAGAAAGUGACGGUACCUUAGGUAUAAGUCUCGGCUAACUACGUGGCAGAAGCCGCGGUAAUACGUAGGAGGCAAGCGUUAUCCGGAAGGACUGGGCGUAAAGGGUGCGUAGGUGGUUUGACAAGUUGGUUGGGUAAGUGAGGCGCUCAACUUCAGAACUACAACCAAGACUGUUAGACUCGAGUGCAGGAGAGGCAACUGGAAUUUGUGGUGUAGCGGUGGAAUGCGUAGAUAUUAGGAAGAACACCGAUUGCGAAGGCAGGUUGCUGGACUGUAACUGACAUUGAGGCACGAAAGUGUGGGGAGCAAACAGGAUUAGAUACCCUAGUAGUC